rnacentral:rRNA from 1 species
GAUGAACGCUGGCGGCGUGCCUAAUACGUGCAAGUCGAGCGAACAGACGAGGAGCUUGCUCCUCUGACGUUAGCGGCGGACGGGUGAGUAACACGUGGAUAACCUACCUAUAAGACUGGGAUAACUUCGGGAAACCGGAGCUAAUACCGGAUAAUAUAUUGAACCGCAUGGUUCAAUAGUGAAAGACGGUUUUGCUGUCACUUAUAGAUGGAUCCGCGCCGCAUUAGCUAGUUGGUAAGGUAACGGCUUACCAAGGCGACGAUGCGUAGCCGACCUGAGAGGGUGAUCGGCCACACUGGAACUGAGACACGGUCCAGACUCCUACGGGAGGCAGCAGUAGGGAAUCUUCCGCAAUGGGCGAAAGCCUGACGGAGCAACGCCGCGUGAGUGAUGAAGGUCUUCGGAUCGUAAAACUCUGUUAUUAGGGAAGAACAAAUGUGUAAGUAACUAUGCACGUCUUGACGGUACCUAAUCAGAAAGCCACGGCUAACUACGUG